UACGUAGGGGGCAAGCGUUGUCCGGAUUUAUUGGGCGUAAAGAGCGUGUAGGCGGCCAUACAGGUCAGCUGUGAAAACUCGAGGCUCAACCUCGAGACGUCGGUUGAAACCGUAUGGCUAGAGUCCGGAAGAGGAGAGUGGAAUUCCCGGUGUAGCGGUGAAAUGCGCAGAUAUCGGGAAGAACACCCGUGGCGAAGGCGGCUCUCUGGGACGGUACUGACGCUGAGGCAC
rnacentral:rRNA from 1 species